rnacentral:rRNA from 1 species
AAUCUUCCGCAAUGGACGCAAGUCUGACGGAGCAACGCCGCGUGAGUGAUGAAGGUUNNNGGAUCNUNAAACUCUGUUGUUAGNGANNAACAAGUACCGUUCGCAUAGGUCGGUACCUUGACGGUACCUAACCAGAAAGCCACGGCUAACUACGUUCCAGCAGCCGCGGUAAUACGUAGGGGGCAAGCGUUAUCCGGAAUUAUUGGGCGUAAAGCGCGCUCAGGGUGUUUCUUAAGUCUGAUGUGAAAGCCCACGGCUCAACCGUGGAGGGUCAUUGGAAACUGGGGAACUUGAGUGCAGAAGAGGAGAGUGGAAUUCCAUGUGUAGCGGUGAAAUGCGUAGAGAUAUGGAGGAACACCAGUGGCGAAGGCGACUCUCUGGUCUGCAACUGACGCUGAGGCGCGAAAGCGUGGGGAGCAAACA